UGCCUGGGAGUCCGCUUGCAAUACCAUAGUUGAUGCCAGAAAUGCCGGCGGCCGCACUUUUGAUGCAUUUGCAAGCUGCUUGCCGGUCUGGUGUUGUUUGGGCGGCGGAGUUGAGAGAUUUUAUGCCGCCGCAGCAACCUGGGGGAACGCCACCAGCACCAUUCCCUGUCAAGUAACCAAUGCAGGGUGCGAGGGAGCUUGUGACUUGACCACAGGUUACGGCCCCUUGAGCCAGGGGUGCACCCACCACCAUGCACAACACCGCCACACAUGCAAGCUUAAGGGACAUUGAGCUAGCCAUAUCGAUUAAUCACAAGAAAAACAAACUUGUAAGGAAAAUGCUUGCUUGGAGUAGUAGUACUAUUGCUGAUUGUCGUGGUUAGGGCUUGAGGGUAGGAGGGUUUUUAUAGCCAAAAGUAGUAGCGGGUGAUGUCUGAAUUUUACUUUCCUAGCUAUUAGGUAAGUUGAGAUUAUCCGAUCCAAACAUUAACACACCACAUUAAAAGUUGAGACCAUUCAAUUAGGUUCAACUGCCAACCUACGUGAUUAUUGUUUUCUUUCAAUACAAUUAAAACCAGCGUCCAUUUGAUUUCACUCAAUCAUGCCUCCACAGCUAGGACUCAAAUAUUGGUUUAACUUUUUUCUAGGUGUUUUCUUAUAAACAUGAGAUUUACAUUUGAUGUAUUUAUAAAUGCAUUUAUUGUCAGAAUGAUACCAUUUUAUUAAAAGUAAUUUGAUUUAUAAUUGUUUGUAUAUAUACUUUUAUAUAUUAAGUCUUUAAUUGAAUUGGUAUUACGAUUCACCCAAGCAUCUAUUUAAUUGAAAAUUUGUUAAAAUAUUCAUAUAACAAAUAUUAAUAUUAAUAUAAAUGUAUUUUUAUUUUUAUUAUAAAUAAAACUAUAAUAAGAUUUAAACUUAUGACUCAUAAAUUUUACUCUUUUUAACUUAACUAUUUCAACUAAAAUUUCAUUUAGUUUUAAUAUAAAUUUUUAUAAAUAUAUUAUUUACAUGAAUUUUCCUUUUCCAGGCGGUAUGCCAUGGAACUAAUAUAAAAUAUAAACAAAUGGUUAUUUUGUUAUUUUCAAUGGAAAAAAAAAACUUCACAAGAUUAGGACACAUGCAUGGUUUUUUUAAUAUAUAUAUAUAUAUAUCAUGCAACAUUCUAAAUCUAUUUAUAGAUUAUUUUGUUGAUUGAAUUUUUAUUUUUUUUUAUUUUGGUAAUUAUAUAAAACUAAAUAUUUUCUUCGCGCAAUGUUAAGAGCAGUUUGAAAUUUAAAAGAAGUGUGGAUUCUAAUAAUAAAUUUAGUUAUCUAAUGUUUACAUAUUUUAUUAAUUUGGUCUUAAAUAUAAAAAUUAAAUUCAACAAAAUUAGCCCUCAAUGUUUACAAAAUUUUUCAUUUUAAUUCAAAUUCUAAAAUAAUCCAAUAAAUUUAGCUCUCAACAUUUACAAAAUGAAAGGAUUUGAUUUUUAAAAUUUUAAUUUUUUUUUUUAAAAACCCAAAACACAAACCUAAAUAAACUGAAAAAGAAGAAGGAAUAAUUAUCAUCACCACGAUCUAAUCUCUCAACUUUAAAAUAAGACUUCAACUUCGGUUUAACCCCAAGACAAGGCGAAACAUUGAAAGUAAGUGCAGCGGAUGCCAUUGAUUCUCCUACCUUUUGGCUAAACACAUAAAUUUGAACAACUUCAUACAUAACUAGCAGCAGUACUAAAAAAUCAUUAAUACUAUAUUUUCAAGUACAAGAAAUUGAAAAAAGAAUCACGGGUAGAGUACAAAAAUGAAAUUUGGUGUGAACCUAGAUUAACAAAACAAGGUUCACGGUUUCUCAAAAACACAAUACUAAAUUUUUAGAAUUUCUUGUGAAGAUCAAGCAAUGAGACAAAUACUGAAAUUGGCAAUGCCUUAAUAGCAAAUAAUAAUUCAAACCAAUGUAGAAAAAAGAUGAAGAAGAAGAAGAUAGGAAAAGAAUUUUUAGUUUACAUUAAAAGCCUUGAAAAGGUAGACCGAUAGGAUUGAUUGUUUUGAAUAUUACUCAACUUUCUCAUUAAUUCUUGUACUAUUAUGGCUAAGUGUGUUUUUAGAUGGUAAUGAAUUUUUUUAAUUGUUAAUAAUUUUUACAAUUAUUACACUUGAUUUGGCAGUUGUUUUUCUUUUUAAUUUACAAAAUUUUAAAAAAUUAAAAAUUUCUAUUUUGUAAAUGCUAAGAGCUAAAUUUAUUAUUAUUUAUUUUAGAAUCUAAACUAAAGUGACAAAUUUUGUAAAUAUUUGGUGUUAAAUUUAUUGGAUUUUUAUAUUUAAAAUCAAAUUGAUAGAAUGUGUAAAGAAAGUUAAUUUUUUUAUUAGACAAAUAAAAAAUAACCCAUUUCAACACUUCCGAAAAAUUUUCAAACGGCCGUUAACAUUUAGUGAUGAAAAUAUUUGAUUUCAUAUAGUUUAAUAAUUAAAAUAAAAAUAAUUAAAAAUUUAGUAAUCAAAGUAAAACACAAGUGAUAUUAUUCUAGUGAUCAUUUCUGUACUUGACCCUAAUUUUUUUUUCAAAACACUGUUAAAAAACGAUUAAUUUCUCGUUUUGGCCGGAGUUAAAAUUUUUAAUAUAUUUGUUUUUAUUAAAUUUAAAAAUUAUAAUUUUACAUAAUAUAUUUUUGAUAGAAUACAUAUGAUAUAAUUUUAAUCAGUGACACCUGUUAAAGCUUGUUAGAUCUCCUGUAUCUCUUUCAAUCUGGUGGUAAAUGAAGCAAUCAAUGAGUAUUACAACCAGCCACAUGUCAUUCAAUUCACAUUAUAUCAAUCUUUUCCCUUUUCUCUCAUUUUGGUAGUUAAUUCCUUUUUUUGUCAUCGAAAUUAUAUUUUUUUCUCAAAUUGAUAAUUUCCUUAAUCCGUUAAGUUUGUUAAAAGAAACCUUAAUCUUAUUUAAAUUAUAUCUUUUUUUUUUUAUUUUGAUACUUAAACAUUUUUGUCACAUGUGGUAUGUAAUUUAUUUUUUCUUAAGUUGUUAGUUUAAUUAUUACUCAAAUAGUUAAGUCUAUUUAAAAAAAGAUAACUAUUUAAAAAUUACCAUAUUCGAACUAGCUAGGCCAUUAGUUCCUGGUUUAAUCAGUUUAUCUAGUUUGAUGAAAUCAAUUAUUAAAAAUUCAUAAAAAUAAAAAUGUUAAAAAAUAGAGAAAACUAGCUCAACUAGUUUUUUUUUUAAGCUCGACUCAAUCAAUCUGUAUCAGUUUGUAGGUUAAUCGGUUCAAGCCCUAUCUCCAAACUAGUAUCCCAGUUGGUUCCUAGUAUUAAGGGUGAGCAAAAUUUGAAUCGACUCGAAAAAAUUUAAAAAAGUUCAAAUUUUGAAUUAUUUGAAUCGAGUUAAUCGAAUCAACUCGAUUUUUUUUUAAUUUCAAGUUCGAGUCGAGUUGAGUUUUUGAAUUCAAAUGACUCGAAUAAUUCGAUUAAGCCGAAUACCAAACUAUAAUAUUUUACAUUUUACCUCAAACCCCAAACCCUUUUACUUUUCCCCCAAAACUUUACUCAUUCCUCCUUGUCUGCCCCUGUAACGCCCCAAAUUUUGAAUUGUUACUGUUAGUUUCUAUUUAUAAGUAAGUAUUUGCUUCAGUGGUUAAGUGUUAUGUGUUGGUGUUUGGAUCGGGGGUUCAAGUUACACUUUUAGAGAAUUUUAUUAUUCUUUUGUUUCAACUCUUAUCCUUGAAUGCUUGAAUUAAGUUUGUAUCUGCAUUAAUUUGUGUCAAGAAUGAGUCUUCUAGUUUAAUGGUUAAGUUUUGUAUUACCUAUGGUCUCGUGUUCGAGUCUCUGCGUAGGCAAUAAAGAAAUAUUUUGGCAUGCUAUCGGGAAAUCAGUUUUAUUUUAAUAAUUAUUUUUAUUUAAAACUUAUUUUUAGUUUUUUUUAUUUUGGUUCUUCUCCUUCCUUACUGUUCAUUUCCUUCUUCUUUUUUCUCCUUUUGUAACACCCCUAACUCGAAUCCGUCGCUGGAACAGGGUUAGGAGUAUUAUUGAAGUUUACAAUUUAAACAGGCAGAAAAAUUAAACAUUUCAUAACAUAUAGCAUUCAUGUUAGAAACCAAUCAUAAUUAUGCAUAUUGUCCCUAAUACGAGCCCUCGAGGCCCAAAAUACACCUUAGAAAUAAUUCGGGACUAAAUUGAAAAUUCGGAGCAUUUUUUAGAAACUUAUAAAAUUUUUAAAACUACAGGGGUCACAUGGCCGUGUGGCUAGGUUGUGUGACUCAUAUGGCCAACAGACACGCCCAUGUCUUAGACCGUGCGGGUAUUCGAAAUAGGGACACACGGUCGUGUCCCAGCCAGUGUCCAUGCCCGUGUAACUCACUAACUUGGGCCACACGGUCAAGCCAUACGCCCGUGUGCCAGGCAUUGUGAGCAUACUAACUUGCAUUCUUUAAAAGAUACAGGGGACACACGGCCAUGUCACCUGACCGUGUGUGACACACGCCCGUGUCUCUGCCCGUGUGGACAAAAAUAGGCUAUUUUUCAAGUCAUAAAUAUUCAUGUAUUCUUUAAAAGAUACAGGGGACACACGCCCGUGUCUCUGCCCGUGUCUCUGCCCAAUUUGGUACCAACCUAAACACAACAAUUUGCAUAUAACCAAGUCAUAAAUAGGCAUCCAAAACCAGCCAAAAUCAAGCUUAAAACAUGUAAUAUCAUCACAUACAACCAAUAUGCCCUUAGGCACCUCAAAUGACAACUUAUAAUAUUAAUAUUCAUGUAUUCAAUAUAGCCAAAUGUAUAACUCACUUAUAUGCAUAUUUUCAUCCAAAGUUUAUUAAGCAAAUUUACAUCAUUUCUUACCAAAUUACUUACCUUCCAAAACAUAUUAUUUGGUGCUAAAAUGUAUUUAACAUACUAACAUAUUUAACUUAUAUGCCUUACAUAUCCAGACACCAAUUCAUGAUCAAUUCUUCACAUUCCAAAACACAUAUAUGAAAUGCACAUUAGGUUACCUUUUUACCACUCUUUAUUCAAUCAUGAACCAAACUACAUGUCAACCAUAAUAAGCAAAAUAUGCACAUAUCCAAAAUUCCAUAACACAAACAAAACAAAUGGCUAAUCUCAACAAAACACAUAUAAGCCAACAUUGGCCAAACUAAUCUAUACAUGCCAUUAUAACCGAAAUUAAACAACCGAAUGUACCAAAAGAGCCAAUGGAUAGUGUGAUAUAGCUCCGACAAGCUUUCAACCAGAACGAGCUUUCGAAUCACUAAAAACACAGAAAAUAACACAGAGUAAGCAUUCAAGCUUAGUAAGUUCAUAUAGCAUAUAAUUUAACUUACCAUUUAGUCACAUUUAAGGUAAGCAUACAAAACAUAUCCAAACUCAAUUAGGAUAAAAGCCUCAACACAUAUCCUCAUCAACCAUGUUAGUCAUGUAAUUCAUAUAAAUAUCAAGAAACAUGUAUGAGCUCAACAAUAAUCAAACUUGCAUGUACAUAUAAUUUCCACAUCAUGUAUUUACAUAUCAUGUACAAAUCAUUUUCAUAUAUCUCAUGUAAAUACAUGUAGUAGUUUGUAUUGAACUCAUGUAAUAUCAUAACAGAACAGUGCCCGUUGAACCAUUUAGAUUAUUGUUGGAUACGCGGAUAGUACACAUGAGGUGUACUGAACUGUAAUUCAUCAAUUCAUGUACAUGUAUGCUCAUAUGAGCUAUAAACAGUAAGCUCCUCUGAGAUGAAUAACAAUAAGCUUGUACGAGCUGAAUAUCGGUAAGCUCAUAUGAGCUGAGUAUCGGUAAGCUCAUAAGAGCUGAAAUCGAUAACCCUAAUGACAUGUUUACCAAGCCAUGACAUUCCACUAACACAUUUAACCUUUAAAAUUAUUUCAAUUUACAAGUUUAAGAAAGAACAUAAAAGAUGAUACUUGGCUUUAUUUUACUAAAUUUUGUUAUUUACUUAAUUACUUAUUUAACCUUUAAAAUCAUUUCAAUUUACAAGUUUACUAAGCCAUGACAUUCCACUAACACAUUUAAGGGUUAUUUACCAUAUAAGGACCUCUACUUUAAAUUUUUAUAGCUAUUUAAUACCUUUAGCUAUUAGAACUUUACUUUUACACUUUACGCGAUUUAGUCAUUUUUAUCAAAUUGAACAUGUAAACGGUAAAAUUUCUUAACGAAAUUUUCAUAUGGUAAUAUUAUCAUGUUUUCGACCAUAAAAUAAUAAUAAAAUAAAAUUUUUUACUUCAUAUUUGUGGUCCCAAAACUACUAUUCUGAUUUCACUGAAAAUGGGUUGUUACACCUUUCUUGCUUGAUUGCUUCCGUAAGUUUGCUAUCGUGCUUAAUUGGGCAUUCUGUGUGGUUUCUUACAUUGAUUGCAAGGAUAUUGCGUAAGUUAUGUUGUUGUUUUUUACCUAUUUUUUCUAGACUUCGUCUGUUUCGUCGAGGUUAGAUAUUACUGUUAAUGGUUGUAAAAUCUCGUUAAUAGUUCCAAUGGAUCUUCUUUUAGGAAAAGGUUUCAAAAGUAACAUUUCCCUGUGAGAUUAGGUCCGAAUUGUUGUUGCUUGCUUGUCAGUAAUUGAAAAUUUCUAUUUUGGAUAGCUGCGUCGAAGUUUUCGACGAACGUUAGUUUUGAGUGCUAAUUUUGGCAUUUUGAGUUGAUUUAGUCAUUUAAUUCGUCAAUUAAUUGUCGUUUUAGGUUUCAGAUUCUUGUGUGUUGCUUCUACAUCGAAACUACAUCAAGUGUGUAACGAAAACUCAUUUUUCUAUGAUUUACGAAUGCUAGAAAACAUGGCUGUUAAUCACACGACCGUGUGUUAGGCCAUGUAACUUACUGUUUAUGUAUUAAAGUCACCGAGCCAAGGACGUGGGCGUGUGUCCUAGUCGUGUAACUUACUAUUUGUGGAUUGGAGUCACACAGGCUAGGGACACGUUUGUGUGUCCAGACUGUGUGAAGGAAAUUUUAUGAAUUGAGUCACACAAGCGUGUGCUUGACUAUGUCAUAGACCGUGUAACUCACUUUUUUGAGCCACACGAUCGUGUGCCAGGCCGUGUGAUAGAUCGUGUGCUACACGGGCCAGCCUUCCGGGACAUGUGAAUCCACACAAGUGUGUGGGUCAAAAUUUCAAAUUUUUUAUUAGGGCCGUAAACAUCAUUCCAGUCAAACGUAGGCCUACUGUAGGGUCUGGAUGAUCUGAUUUGGGUUAUAAAACCCAUUGACUAGUUAUCUGUUUCUGUAUAAACUGUUAUUUUAUAUACAUCAUAGAAUUGUAAACUAGAGAGUAGUUGUAUUCUGUAUUAAUUGAGUAUAACCUGAAAUUUGUAACAUCGUAUGCUUAUAUCUGUAUCUGUAACAUUGCAUCUGCAUUGGGGUUGGGAUUGAAUAAGGAGGAAGUUAUGGCAGUUAAAUAAUCUGCUAAGACUGGUGGCUAAGACACGUAAAUGUAUCUAAUUUUGGUGACUUUCGCAUUCUGUCCUAGCAAUUAGUCUGCAACCUUUUGAACGUGACAUAUGGUCACUAUGUGGUGUGUAGGGACGAUACCCUUUUUGGUGUGUAGGGUUGGAUGCAGAUGGUGUGUAAUUGACAUAUUCUACUCUAUUUCCGUAUAUAAUUCUGAGAACUGUUCUAACUUUAAGAAAUUGAAGAUCUAUUUUGUUGUUUCACUUAAUAAUAAUAUAAGUUAUACGCUAUGUAUAACACCCUUUACCCGAGACCGUGGUCGGAGUCGAGCAUGAGGUGUUACUUGACUUAACUUAAAAGUUCAGGGCAUAAAAAUUUACUUUCAAAAUUAAUUUCACCAUUCACAAUAAAGUUGUCCACCUGAGCAGCAGUCACUAAAUUAAUUAUAACUCAAGCUAAGAAACUCGAAAUUUAGAUUCGUAAAUUUUCCCUGAAACUAGACUCAUAUAUCUAUUCACAAAAAUUUUUCAGAAUUUUUUAUUUGACCAAUUAGUACAGUUUAUUAGUUGAAGUCUCCCCAGUUUCACUAAUCGACUAUCCUGACCUCUCGUCACUAAAAUUCAAUUAUCUCAUUAUACAGACUUGACAUGCUGAUUCCACUUAUUUAUACUUAAAAUAUACUCAUUAAGGAAUUUAAAAAUAUAAUUUAUAACUCAUAAUUCUAUUUGUACAAUUUUUAAUGAAUUUCUAAAGUCAGAACAGGGGACUUCAGAAUCAUUCUGACUCUGUCUCACUAAAAUUAAAAUAUCUAAAAGUAUAUAACUCUUUUGCUUACUCUAUUGCUUUCAUGUGAAAGUAGACUCAUUCAGAUUUAAUUUCAUCUCUCGCUAAACAUAUAAUUCUAUUUCUACAAUUUUUGGUAAUUUUUCAAAGUUACAUCAAUGCUGCUGCCCAAAAAUAGUUCCAUUGAAAUUUUUAAAAAAAAAUUCAAUAUAACCCCUUUAUAAUUAUCUAACCUUCCCUGCAAAUUUCAAAUCACAACCAAUUUCAGUAUUUCAACUACUUCACUUAAAUACUAAUGAAGUUCAACUAAUCAACCAUUUCAAACUAAAAACAUGUAUAGUUCAAUGUUUAACACAACCAUCACAUUCAAAUUUAUUCAUUCUAUUACUUUUUACUUCAAUUCCCUAUACAUGUCAUAUAAAUCCAAAAAGUUGUUUAACAAAAUCUACAGGAGUAAAUCUGGAUAGUGUGAUUCUUGGUGUAGAUCUGAUCCUCCGAAUGUAUAAAUACGUCAAUCUACAAGAAUCAAUAAACACACAAUUAAGCGUAUAGAAAGCUUAGUAAGUUCAUAGGCACCAAACAUAAAUCUUACCAAACAUUUAUACACUUAUACAUUAUACACCAUUACUAAGUUUACCUGUCAACCACAAUCUUUGGUGAGUUCCUUGGUAUAAACUCACUACUACUUAUUCUUUUACCAUAAUUCCUUUGGGCCCAUUUGUCACUUACCAUCCUUGAUCAAAAUUAAGGAACGGUUACGGAAAAUUGAGUACUUCACUUUCACUUUGCCAUAGUAUAACUAUGGUCUUACGUAUGAUCAAACAUCACUUGUCCUUGAUAAGAUAAGUGUAGCUAGGCAACCACUUAUCACUUUGUCACUUGAUCAGAUAAGUGCAGCUAAAGCUACCAUUUAUCACUUUAUCACCACUUAUCACUUGUUCUUGAUUAGAUAAGUGUAGCUAAAGUUACCACUUAUCACUUUGUCACCACUUAUCACUUGUUCCUAAUCAGAUAAGUGUAGCUAAAACUACCACUUAUCACUUUGUCACUUGAUCAGAUAAGUGUAGCUAAGCUAUCACUUAUCACUUUGUCACUUGAUCAGAAGUACUCAAAUCCGGUGUUCUGCUCAAUUUGAUCAUUUAUUCAGUUUUCACAUUUUUAUUUUAUUCUCAUUUCAUCAAUAAAUAUAUAUAUUUCAUCAUACAUUAUAUAAUUCAUGAAAUUAACAUUUAAUCAUUAAAUUUUAGCCAUAUGAACUUACCUGGGUUGAUUUGCUGAAUUUGUAAAAGUUUAGGGACUAAUCAGCUACUUUUUUUUUCCUCGACUUGUUUCGGGUUCUCAAUAUGAUUCAAAUAUAUGAAAAACCAACUUGGAGGGACUCUUCAAUGGUGUUUUUUGCUAAAAAAUAUGAGGAAUUGCCUAGAAACACUUUUAGUUAAGAUUUUUAUUUGUUAUUUUUUACAAAAUUUCCAAUUUUGCCCUUAUUACAUCACUUUUUCAAAUUUUUCUUCUCUUAUGUCGUCUCAACUAUUCCAUAUUGGCAUAUUUAUGCCUUAAGUCCCUCCUUAUUUACCACUUAAGCUAUUUAAUCACUUUUAACAAAUUUUACAUUAUUUUCAGUUUAAUCCUUUUUAAUUAAUUAACCACCCAAACGUUAGAAUUUUCUAACGAAAAUUUAAUACCAACUCAAUGACACUCCAUAAAUGUUUCUAAAAAUAUUUAUGGCUCGAUUUAUGAGGUUGAGGUUUCAAUACCUCAUUUUCGAUUCUAAUUAUUUUAAUAUUUAUUCUUAGUACAUUAUUCACUAUUUCAAAAAUUUUCCUAACUUCGCAUUUAACUUAUACUCACUAAAUUAAUAAUAUUUUCUACUCAUUUGUCAAAUUUAAUGAUCUCGAAUUACCAUUCCGACACCACUGAAAAUUCAGGCCAUUACAACUCUCCCCCCAUUUUGGAAAUUUCAUCACCGAAAUUUCGUACCUGAAAAUAAAUUCGGAUACUGAAAUCUCAGCAAUUCCUCUGUUUCCCAGGUUGCCUCCUCAGAUCCAUGUCGAUUCCAUAACACCUUAACUAGUGGUACAUGUUUAUUCCUCAACUCUUUAACCUUCUGAGCUAAAAUUUUCACCGGUUCCUCUGAAUAAGUCAUGUCAGGUUGAAGCUCUAUUUCCGUAUGAGGAAUUACAUGUGAUGGAUCUGAUCUGUACCGUCUCAACAUAGACACAUGAAACACAUUAUGAAUCUUUUCAAGUUCCGGGGGCAAAGCUAAUCUAUAGGUUACCGGACCGAUUCUUUCAAUGAUUUCAUACGGCCCGAUAAAUCGUGGGCUGAGUUUCCCCUUUUUGCUGAACCGCAAAACUUUCUUCCACGGUGACACUUUCAAAAAUACACGAUCACCCACAUUAAACUCUAUAUCCCUUCUCUUCAAAUUUGCAUAUGAUUUUUGCCGAUCGGAGGUAGCUUUUAAACAAUCUCGAAUAAUACGAACUUUUUCUUCAGUUUCCUGAGUCAAUUCCACUCCCACUAGUUUCGAUUCACUUAAUUCAGACCAAUAUAAUGGAGUUCUACACUUUCUUCCAUACAAAGCUUCAAACGGUGCCAUUUUAAUGCUAGUUUGAUAACUAUUAUUAUAAGCAAAUUCGGCUAAAGGUAAAUACCUUUCCCAGCUACCGCCGAACUCAAGUAUACAACACCUUAACAUAUCUUCUAAAAUCUGAAUCACUCGCUCUGACUGCCCAUCUGUCUAGGGAUGAAAAGCUGUGUUGAAAUUUAAUUUGGUGCCUAAAGCUUCCUGUAAUUUACUCUAAAAUCUCGAGGUAAAUCUCGGAUCUUGAUCUGAAAUAAUAGAUGUCGGUACCCCAUGUAACCUCACUAUCUCAGACACAUAUAACUCCGCUAACUUUUCAAGCUGAUAAUCUGCUCUGACUGGAAUAAAAUGUGCUGACUUAGUUAACCGAUCAACAAUCACCCAUAUUGAAUGUUUCUUCUUCAGAGUUACUAGUAAUCCAGAUACAAAAUCCAUCGUAACAUGUUCCCAUUUCCAAUCUGGAAUCAUAAUGGGCUGUAACAACCCUGUCGGCACUUGAUGCUCAGCUUUCACCUGUUGACAGAUCAAACAUCUUGCUACAUACUCAAAGAUUUCCCGUUUCAUUCCGGGCCACCAAUACAUUUUCUUCAAAUCACAAUACAUUUUUGUACUACCCGGGUAAAUAGAACACAUACUACUGUGAGCCUCUGAUAAAAUAUCAUUUUUCAAGUUUAAAUUAUUCGGAAUACAUAUUCUAUUACGAUAAUAUAACAUACCAUUUUCAUCAAUGGAGUAUUCUGAGCUUAACUUAUCUUGAACCAUCUGUCGCUUUAUCAUCAAUUUUGGGUCAUCAUCCUAUAACUCCCGAAUCCGUUGAAAGAACACGGGUUUAGCCUUUAAUUCUGCUAGUACAGAACCAUCCUCAUUAAUAGAUAAAUGAGCAUUCAAUGCCCGUAGUGCAAAUAAUGAUGAUUUCCGACUAAGCGCAUCUGCUGCGGCAUUUGCUUUCCCUGGGUGAUAGUCAAUGACAAGAUCAUAAUCUUUCAGCAACCCCAACCAUCGUCUCUGUGUCAAAUUUAACUCUUUCUGAGUCAUUAAAUACUUCAAGCUUUUAUGAUCAGUAUACACGUAACAUUUCUCACCAUAUAAGUACUCUCCAUAUCUUCAAAGCAAACACGAUCGCUGCCAAUUCCAAAUCAUGUGUAGGAUAAUUCUUGUCGUGCGGUUUCAGUUGCCAAGAAGCAUAUGCCACCACUUUGCCUGACUGAAUAAGUACACAGCCCAACCCAUUUACAGAUGCAUCACUAUAUACUACAAACGGUACACCCGAUUCUGGUUGAGUCAACACUGGAGCCUCUGUCAACAUCUUUUUCAACUGAUCGAAACUCCGCUGACAUUCAUCUAACCAUAUAAAUUCAACAUUCUUUUGUAGCAAUCGAGUUAACGGUAAGGUAAUCAUUGAGAAAUCUUUGACAAAUCGACGAUAAUAACCUGCCAAUCGUAGAAAACUCUGCACUUCAGUCACAUUCUUCGGAACUUUCCAAUUUAUCACUGCCGCUACCUUACUUGGAUCCACUCUUAUUCCAUCAGCUGAUACAAUAUGACCCAAAAAUGCAACUUCAUGGAGCCAAAAUUCACAUUUGCUGAAUUUGGCAUACAAUUGUUUCUCCCACAAAGUCUGUAAUACAAUCAUUAGAUGUUGUGCAUGUUCGGACUCUGUCUUUGAAUAAAUCAAUAUAUCGUCAAUGAACACAACCACAAAUCUAUCCAAAUAUGACUGAAAAAUUCUAUUCAUCAAAUCCAUAAAAGCAGCAGGGGCAUUGGUUAAACCAAAUGGCAUCACCAAAAAUUCAAAAUGACCAUAUCGAGUUCGAAAGGCAGUUUUCGGCACUUCACACUCUUUAACUUUCAACUGAUAAUACUCGGAUCGAAGAUCUAUCAUGGAAAAUACUGUAGCACCUUUCAACUGAUCAAACAAAUCAUCAAUAUGAGGCAAAGGAUUUUUAUUCUUUACUGUUACCUUAUUCAACUGUCUGUAAUCUAUACACAGUCUUAAAAAACCGUCCUUCAUUUUCACAAACAAGACAGGUGUACCCCAGGGCGACAUACUCGGUCUGAUGAACCCUUUAUCUAAUAACUCCUGCAGCUGCGCCUUCCGUUCUUUUAACUCGACUGGAGCCAUUCUGUAUGGUGUCAUUGAGAUAGGAGUUGUUCCGGGGAUCACAUCAAUUACAAAUUCAACUUCUCUAUCAGGUGGUAGACCGGGUAACUCUUCAGGGAACAUAUCAGGGAAUUCAUUCACCAUUGGCACUUGUUCGAGCUUCAAACCAGAACCCUGAGUAUCCAGGAUAUAGGCCAAGAAUGCUUCGUUGCCUUUGUGUAAUAACCUCUGAGCAGAGAGAGCUAAAAUAAUUCUGACUGUAUCACCCAGAUUUUCAGACCCAACUGAGAUUAUAUCUCCCGUUUGACAUUUCAAACUGAUUUGUUUAUCACGAUAAUUCACUACCGCAUCAUGUCUCAUUAACCAGUCCAUCCCCAGAAUAAUGUCAAAUUCCCGAAAAGGUAACAACAUCAAAUCAGCGAGGAAUUCAUAGCCUUUCACUUUCAGUGGACAAUUACGACAUAUCAAAUUAACCAUCACACUUUGACCUAAUGGGUUUGUGACUUGUAUAUCAAAUUCAGUGGACUCAACAGAUAAUUUCUUUUUAGAUGCUAACAUAGUGCAAAUAUAUGAAUGAGUAGAUCCAGGGUCUAUCAAUGCAUAAACAAUAACAUCAUAAAGAUAGAAAGUACCAGCAAUUACAUCAGGAGCCGUAGCCUCUUUCCUUGCUCGAAUGGCGUAGGUACGUGCUGGUGCUCUAUUCUCUGAUCGACCAACUGAUUCCCUCGUACCCGAACGGGUAGUCCCUGUAGCACUGCUCUGGCCCGAACGUCUACUUUUUUGGGGAAUGGUUCUCUGUAUUUCUUUCUGUUCCACUUCAUCUUUUUACAGUCGGGAACAAUCUCGAAUAAGAUGAUUAGUACCCUCACAUUUUUAACAAGCCCCUAUCUUGGUCCUGCAUUCUCUGAAAUGAUAUCUUCCACAAUAUUGACACUUAGGCCGGGGAGCAUUCUGAACACUGCUCACACUUGCUGGAGGUCUAUCGAAUACCCUGAAAUCAGAUUGUCUUGGUCUAUCUCUACCCGAUCUUCUCGACAGUGAUGUAGUUCGACUAAUUUCUUCUCUAGAUUUGUUCACUGGUAAAUCUAAAAAUGACUUAGAAGCACCUCUUUUGAAUGGCUCUUUACUUUUUCGAUCCCGCUACAUUUUUCUGUUGUAUACUUCUUCGAGCUUUUGAGCACGGUCUGACAGAACAGGGAACUCUCGUAUUUCAUUACCCCCAAUCAUCAUUCUAAUUUCAUCAUUUAACCCUUCUUCAAACCUGAUACACAUUUCUUCUUUAAUAAGUACAAUGUCUCGGGCAUAUUUGCUGAGGUAGACAAAUUCUCUUUCGUAUUCAGCCACUGAUUUAUCUCCCUGGCGUAGGUCGAGAAAUUCCCUUUUAUUUUUAUCCAAAUACCGUCUGCCCACAUAUUUCUUCUUAAAUUCAUUUUGGAAAAAUUCCCAAUAAAUUUUCUCUGUCGGAACCACAUCCUCAAUCGUCUCCCACCAACUAUAAGCUUCUUCUUUCAAUAGAGACACAACACAACUCAAAUAAUCAUCUAGUGAGCAAACCAUUUCUUUAAAAAUUCUUAUUAAACUCUGUAACCAAUAUUCAGCUUUGACGGGAUCUUUAUCAGUCCUUCCCCGAAAUUCUUCGGCUCCAAGUUUUUUAAGCCUUUCCAAUGGAGAACGCUUUCUGGAUUCAGUCGUUGUAAAAGGUGGAGGAGCAACCGGGUGUGCCACCGAUGGAGCAGUAGGGGGAGGAGGUGGUUCAGCCUGAUUUCUUUCUUGCCUCAUUUCAGUAUAUCAUUGAUUCAUAAUCCCAUAAAUCAUAUUCUUUAACUCUUGCUCUCGCAUUUGGGAGAUCGGAACAUCACUGCUUGUUCUUUGUUUAGAAUUAUGUAUUCUACUAUUAACUUCUUCUUUCUCAGUACGUUUAGGUAUAUCUGACAUCUCCAUAACCGGAGAAUAUCUACUAUUAACUUCUUCUUACUGGAUUCAGUCGUUGUAAGAGGUGGAGAAGCAACCGGGGGUACCACCGAUGGAGCAGUAGGCAGAGGAGGUGGUUCAGCCUGAUUUCUUUCUUGCCUCAUUUCAGUAUACCACUGAUUCAUAAUCCCAUAAAUCAUAUUCUUUAACUCUUGCUCCCGUAUUUGGGAGAUCAGAACACCACUGCUUGUUCUUUGUUCAGAAUUAUGUAUUCUACUAUUAACUUCUUCUUGCUCAGUACGUUCAGGUAUAUCUGACAUCUCUAUAACCGGAGAAUAUCUAUAAAAAUAACAAAGAUUAGAUCGCAUCAUACGCAUUACACUAUCACAGAUUUAUAUGGCAUGUAUUUCUAAACACUUUACACUUUACACAUAUUCCGAGAACCGGCUAAACCUGGAUCUGAUACCAAUAAAAUGUAACACCCUUUACCUGAGACCGUUUCCAGAGUCGAGCAUGAGGCGUUACUUGACUUAACUUAAAAGUUCAGGGCAUAAAAAAUUACUUUCAAAAUUAAUUUCACCAUUCACAAUAAAGCUGUCCACCCACGCAGCAAUCUCUAAAUUAAUUAUAACUCAAGAUGCGAAACUCGAAAUUUAGAUCUGUAUAUUUUACCUAAAACUAGACUCAUAUAUCUAUUCACUACAAAAUUUUCAGACUUUUUGGUUUGGCAAAUUAGUACAGUUUAUUAAUUGAAGUCUCCCCUGUUUCACUAAUAGACUAUCCUGACCUCUCGUCACUAAAAUUCAAUUAUCUCAUUAUACAAACUUGACUUGGUGCUUUCAAUUAUUUUUACUUAAAAUAGACUCAUUAAGGAAUUUAAACAUAUAAUUUAUAACUCAUAAUUCAUUUUGUACAAUUUUUAAUGAAUUUCUAAAGUCAAAAUAGGGGACUUCAAAAUCAUUCUGACUCUGUCUCACUAAAAUUCAAAUAUCUAAAAGUAUAUAACUCUUUUGCUUACUCUAUUGCUUUAAUGUGAAAGUAGGCUCAUUCAGCUUUAAUUUCAUCUCUCACUCAACUUAUAAUUCUAAGUCCACAUUUUUGGUGAUUUUUCAAAGUUACAUCAAUACUGCUGUCCAAAAACUGUUCCAUUGAAAUUUUUUUAAAAAAUUUCAAUAUAACCCUUUUAUAAUUAUCUAACCUUCCCUGCAAAUUUUAAAUCACAACCAAUUUCAGUAUUUCAACCACUUCACUUAAAUACUAAUGAAGUUCAACCAAUCAACCAUUUCAAACUAAAAACAUGCAUAGUUCAAUGUCUAACACAACCAUCACAUUCAAAUUUACUUUGCAUAUUUAGAUAUUCAUUCUUUUACUUUUUACUUCAAUUCCCUAUACAUGUCAUAUAAAUCCAAAAAGUUGUUUAACAAAAUCUACCGGAGUAAAUCUUGAUAGUGUGAUUCUUGGUGUAGAUCCGAUCCUCUGAAUGUAUAAAUACGUCAAUCUACAAGAAUCAAUAAACGCACAAGUAGGCUUAAUAAACACACAAGUAAGCUUAUAGAAAGCUUAGUAAGUUCAUAGGCACCAAACAUAAAACUUACCAAACAUUUAUACACUUAUACAUUAUACACCAUUACUAAGUUUACCUGUCAACCACAUUCUUUGGUGAGUUCCUUGGUAUAAACUCACUAAUACUUAUUCUUUUACCAUAAUUCCUUUGGGCCCAUUUGUCACUUACCAUCCUUGAUCAAAAUUAAGGAACGGUUACGGAAAAUUGAGUACUUCACUUUCACUUUGCCAUAGUAUAAAUAUGGUCUUACGUAUGAUCACUUAUCACUUGUCCUUGAUCAGGUUAGUGUAGCUAGGCUACCACUUAUCACUUGUUCCUGAUCAGAUAAGUGUAGCUAAGCUAUCACUUGUCACUUUGUCACUUGAUCAAAAGUACUCAAAUCCGGUGUUCCGCUCAAUUUGAUCACUUAUUCAGUUUGCGCAUUUUUAUUUUAUUCUCAUUUCAUCAAUAAAUAUAUAUAUAUAUUUCACCAUACAUUAUAUAAUUCAUGAAAUUAACAUUUAAUCAUUAAAUUUCAUCCAUAUGAACUUACCUAGGUCGAUUUUCUGAAUUUGUAAAAGUUCAAGGACUAAUCAGCUACUUUUUCUUUUCCUCGACUUGUUUCGGGUUCUCGAUAUGAUUCAAAUAUAUGAAAAACUAGCUUGGAGGGACUCUUCAAUGGCGUUUUUUGCUGAGAAAUAUGAUGAAUUGCCUAGAAACUCUUUUAGUUAAGAUUUUUAUUUGUUAACUUUUACAAAAUUUCUAAUUUUGCCCUUAUUACAUCACUUUUUCAGAUUUUUCUUCUCUUAUGCCGUCUCAACUAUUCCAUAUUAGCAUAUUUAUGCCUUAAGUCCCUCCUUAUUUACCACUUAAGCUGUUUAAUCACUUUUAACAAAUUUUACAUUAUUUUCAGUUUAGUCAUUUUUAAUUAAUUAACCACCAAAACGUUAGAAUUUUCUAACGAAACUUUAAUACCAACUCAAUGACACUCUAUAAAUGUUUCUAAAAAUAUUUAUGGCUCGAUUGAUGAGUUUGAGGUUUCGAUACCUCAUUUUCGACUCUAAUUAUUUUAAUAUUUAUUCUUAGUACACUAUUCACUAUUUCAAAAAUUUUCCUAACUUCGCAUUUAACUUAUACUCACUAAAUUAAUAAUAUUUUCUACUCAUUUGUCAAAUUUAAUGAUCUCGAAUUACCAUUCCGACACCACUGAAAAUUCAGGCCAUUACAACUCUCCCCCCAUUUUGGAAAUUUCGUCCCCGAAAUUUCGUACCUGAAAAUAAAUUCGAAUACUGAAAUCUCAUCAAUUCCUCUGUUUCCCAGGUUGCCUCCUCAGAUCCAUGUCGAUUCCAUAACACCUUAACUAGUGGUACAUGUUUAUUCCUCAACUCUUUAACAUCCCAAGCUAAAAUUUUCACCGGUUCCUCUGAAUAAGUCAUGUCAGGUUGAAGCUCUAUUUCCGUAUGAGGAAUUACAUGUGAUGGAUCUGAUUUGUACCGUCUCAACAUAGACACAUGAAACACAUUAUGAAUCUUUGCAAGUUCCGGGGGCAAAGCUAAUCUAUAGGUUACCAGACCGAUUCUUUCAAUGAUUUCAUACGGCCCGAUAAAUCGUGGGCUGAGUUUUCCCUUUUUGCUGAACCGCAAAACUUUCUUCCACGGUGACAGUUUCAAAAAUACACGAUCACCCACAUUAAACUCUCUAUCCCUUCUCUUCAAAUCUGCAUAUGAUUUUUGCUGAUCGGAGGCAGCUUUUAAGCAAUCUCGAAUAAUACGAACUUUUUCUUCAGUUUCCUGAGUCAAUUCCACUUCCACCAGUUUCAAUUCACUUAAUUUAGACCAAUAUAAUGAAGUUCUACACUUUCUUCCAUACAAAGCUUCAAACGGUGCCAUUUUAAUGCUAGUUUGAUAACUAUUAUUAUAAGCAAAUUCGGCUAAAGGUAAAUACCUUUCCCAGCUACCGCCGAACUCAAGUAUACAACACCUUAACAUAUCUUCUAAAAUCUGAAUCACUCGCUCUGACUGCCCAUCUGUCUGGGGAUGAAAAGCUGUGUUGAAAUUUAAUUUGGUGCCUAAAGCUUCCUGUAAUUUACUCUAAAAUCUCGAGGUAAAUCUCGGAUCUCGAUCUGAAAUAAUAGAUGUCGGUACCCCAUGUAACCUCACUAUCUCAGACACAUAUAACUCCGCUAACUUUUCAAGCUGAUAAUCUGCUCUGACUGGAAUAAAAUGUGCUGAUUUAGUUAACCGAUCAACAAUCACCCAUAUCGAAUCUUUCUUCUUCGAAGUUACUGGUAAUCCGGAUACAAAAUCCAUCGCAACAUGUUCCUAUUUCCACUCUGGAAUCAUAAUGGGCUGUAACAACCCUGUCGGCACUUGAUGCUCAGCUUUCACCUGUUGGCAGAUCAAACAUCUUGCUACAUACUCACAGAUUUCCCAUUUAAUUCCGGGCCACCAAUACAUUUUCUUCAAAUCACAAUACAUUUUUGUACUAACCCGGUGAAUAGAACACAUACUACUGUGAGCCUCUGAUAAAAUAUCAUUUUUCAAGUUUAAAUUAUUCGGAAUACAUAUUCUAUUACGAUAAUAUAACAUACCAUUUUCAUCAAUGGAGUAUUCUGAGCUUAACUUAUCUUGAACCAUCUGUCGUUUUAUCAUCAAUUUUGGGUCAUCAUCCUGUAACUCUUGAAUCCAUUGAAAGAACACGGGUUUAGCCUUUAAUUCUGCUAGUACAGAACCAUCCUCAUUAAUAGAUAAAUGAGCAUUCAAUGCCCGUAGUGCAAAUAAUGAUGAUUUCUGACUAAGUGCAUCUGCUGCGGCAUUUGCUUUCCCUGGGUGAUAGUCAAUGACAAGAUAAUAAUCUUUCUGCAACUCUAACCAUCGUCUCUAUCUCAAAUUUAACUCUUUCUGAGUCAUUAAAUACUUUAAGCUUUUAUGAUCAGUAUACACGUAACAUUUCUCACCAUAUAAGUAGUGUCUCCUUAUCUUCAAAGCAAACACGAUCGCUGCCAAUUCAAAAUCAUGUGUAGGAUAAUUCUUGUCGUGCGGUUUCAGUUGCCGAGAAGCAUAUGCCACCACUUUGCCUGACUGAAUAAGUACACAGCCCAACCCAUUUACAGAUGCAUCACUAUAUACUACAAAUGGUACACCCGAUUCUGGUUGAGUCAACAUUGGAGCCUCUGUCAACAUCUUUUUCAACUGAUCAAAACUCCGCUGACAUUUAUCUGACCAUAUAAAUUCAACAUUCUUUUGUAGAAAUCGAGUCAACUGUAAGGUAAUCAUUGAGAAAUCUUUGAUAAAUCGACAAUAAUAACAUGCCAAUCGUAGAAAACUCCACACUUCAAUAACAUUCUUCGGAACUUUCCAAUUUACCAUUGCCGCUACCUUACUUGGAUCGACUCUUAUUCCAUCAGCUGAUACAAUAUGACCCAAAAAUGCAACUUCAUGGAGCCAAAAUUCUCAUUUGCUAAAUUUGGCAUACAAUUGUUUCUCUCACAAAGUCUGUAAUACAAUCCUUAGAUGUUGUGCAUGUUCGGACUCUGUCUUUGAAUAAAUCAAUAUAUCGUCAAUGAACAACCACAAAUCUAUCCAAUUAUGACUGAAAAAUUCUAUUCAUCAAAUCCAUAAAAGCAGCAAGGGCAUUGGUUAAACCAAAUGGCAUCACCAAAAAUUCAUAAUGACCAUAUCGAGUUUGGAAGGCAGUUUUCGGCACAUCACACUCUUUAACUUUCAACUGAUAAUACCCAGAUUGAAGAUCUAUCUUGGAAAAUAUUGCAGCACCUUUCAACUGAUCAAAUAAAUCAUCAAUAUGAGGCAAAGGAUAUUUAUUCUUUACUGUUACCUUAUUCAACUGCCUGUAAUCUAUACACAGUCUUAGAGAACCGUCCUUUUUUUUCACAAACAAGACAGGUGCACCCCAGGGCGACAUACUCAGUCUGAUGAACCAUUUCUCUAAUAACUCCUGUAACUGCGCCUUCAACUCUUUUAACUCGGCUGGAGCCAUUCUGUACGGUGUCAUUGAGAUAGGAGUUGUUCCGGCGAUCACAUCAAUUACAAAUUCAACUUCUUUAUCAGGUGGUAGACCGGGUAACUCUUCAGGGAACACAUUAGGGAAUUCAUUCACUACUGGCACUUGUUUGAGCUUCAAACCAGAACCCUGAGUAUCCAUGAUAUAGGCCAAGAAUGCUUCGUUGCCUUUGCGUAAUAACCUCUGAGCAGGGAGAGCUGAAAUAAUUCUGACUGUAUCACCCAUAUUUUCAGACCCAACUGAGAUUAUAUCUCCCGUUUGACAUUUCAAAUUGAUCUGUUUAUCACGACAAUUCACUACCGCAUCAUGUCUCACUAACCAGACCAUCCCAAGAAUAAUGUCAAAUUCUCGAAAAGGUAACAACAUCAAAUCAGCGGGGAAUUCAUAGCCUUUCACUUUUAAUGGACAAUUACGACAUAUCAAAUUAACCAUCACACUUUGACCUAAUGGGUUUGUGACUUGUAUAUCAAAUUCAAUGGACUUAACAAAUAAUUUCUUUUCAGAUGCUAACAUAGUGCAAAUAUAUGAAUGAGUAGAUCUAGGGUCUAUCAAUGCAUAAACAAUAACAUCAUAAAGAUAGAAAGUACCAACAAUUACAUCAGGAGCCGUAGCCUCUUCCCUUGCUCGAAUGGCGUAGGUACGUGCUGGUGCUCUAUUCUUUGAUCGACCAACUGAUUCCCUCGUACCCGAACGGGUAGUCCCUGUAGCACUGCUCUGGCCCGAAUGUCUACUUCUUUGGGGAAUGGUUCUCUGUAUCUCUUUCUGUUCCACUUCAUCUUUUUACAGUCGGGGACAAUCUCGAAUAAGAUGAUUAGUAGCCCUACAUUUUUAACAAGCCCCCAUCUUGGUCCUGCAUUCUCCGAAAUGAUAUCUUCCACAAUAUUGACACUUAGGCCGGGGAGCAUUCUGAACACCGCUCACACUUGCUGCAGGUCUAUCGAAUACCCUGAAAUCAGAUUGUCUUGGUCUAUCUCUACCCGAUCUUCCCAACAUUAAUGUAGUUCGACUAAUUUCUUCUCUAGAUUUCUUCACUGGCAAAUCUAAAAAUGACUUAGAAGCACCUCUUUUGAAUGGCUCUUUACUUUUUCGAUCCCGCUGCAUUUUUCUGUUGUAUACUUCUUCGAGCUUUUGAGCACGGUCUGACAGAACAACGAACUCUCGUAUUUCAUUACCCCCAAUCAUCAUUCUAAUUUCAUCAUUUAACCCUUCUUCAAACCUGAUACACAUUUCUUCUUUAGUAGGUACAAUGUCUCGGGCAUAUUUGCUGAGGUAAACAAAUUCUCUUUCGUAUUCAGCCACUGAUUUAUUUCCCUGGCGUAGGUCGAGAAAUUCCCUUUUAUUUUUAUCCAAAUACCGUCUGCCCACAUAUUUCUUCUUAAAUUCAUUUUGGAAAAAUUCCCAAUAAAUUUUCUCUGCUGGAACCACAGCCUCAAUCGUCUCCCACCAACUAUAAGCUUCUUCUUUCAAUAGGGACACAGCACAUCUCAAAUAAUCAUCUGGUGAGCAAACCAUUUCUUUAAAAAUUCUUAUCAAACUUUGUAACCAAUAUUCAGCUUUGACGGGAUCUUCAUUAGUCCUUCCUGAAAUUCUUCGGCUCCAAGUUUUUUAAGCUUUUCCAAUAGAGAACGCUUACUAGAUUCAGUCGUUGUAGGAGGUGGAGGAGUAACCGGGGGUACCAUCGAUGGAGCAGUAGGGGGAGGAGGUGGUUCAGCAUGAUUUCUUUCUUGCCUCAUUUCAAUAUACCACUGAUUCAUAAUCUCAUAAAUCAUAUUCUUUAAUUCUUGCUCUCGCAUUUGGGAGAUCGGAACAUCACUGCUUGUUCUUUGUUCAGAAUUAUGUAUUCUACUAUUAACUUAUUCUUACUUAGUUCGUUCAGGUAUAUCUGACAUCUUUAUAACUGGAGAAUAUCUAUAAAAAUAACAAAGAUUAGAUCGGAUCAUACGCAUCACACUAUCACAGAUUUAUAUGGCAUGUAUUUCUAAACACUUUACACUUCACACAUAUUCCGAGAACCGGCUAAACCGGGAUCUGAUACCAAUAAAAUAUAACACCCUUUACCCAAGACCGUUGCCCGAGUCGAGCAUGAGGCGUUACUUGACUUAACUUAAAAGUUCAGGGCAUAAAAAUUUACUUUCAAAAUUAAUUUCACCAUUCACAAUAAAGCUGUCCACCUGCGCAGGAGUCACUAAAUCAAUUAUAACUCAAGCUACGAAACUCAAAAUUUAGAUCCGUAAAUUUUCCCUAAAACUAGACUCAUAUAAAUAUUCACCAUAAAUUUUUAAGAAUUUUUAGUUUAUCCAAUUAGUAUAGUUUAUUAGUUUAAGUCUCCCUUGUUUCACUAAUAGACUACCCUGACCUCUCGUCACUAAAAUUCAAUUAUCUCCUUAUACAGACUUGACAUGGUGCUUCCAAUUAUUUUUACUUAAAAUAUACUCAUUAAGGAAUUUAAAAAUAUAAUUUAUAACUCAUAAUUACUUUUUUACAAUUUUUAUUGAAUUUCUAAAUUCAGAACAGGGGACUUCAAAAUCAUUCUGACCCUGUCUCACUAAAAUUCAAAUAUCUAAAAGUAUAUAACUCUUUUGCUUACUCUAUUGCUUUCAUGUGAAAGUAUACUCAUUCAGAUUUAAUUUCAUAUCUCACUUAACUUAUAAUUCUAUUUCCACUAUUUUUGGUGAUUUUUCACAGUUACAUCAAUGCUGCUGUCCAAAAACUGUUCCAUUGAAAUUUUUAAAAAAAAUUCAAUAUAACCCCUUUAUAAUUAUCUAACCUUCCCUGCAAAUUUCAAAUCACAACCAAUUUCAGUAUUUCACCUACUUCACUUAAAUACUAAUGAAGUUCAACCAAUCAACCAUUUCAAACUAAAAACAUGUAUAGUUCAAUGUCUAACACAACCAUCAUAUUCAAAUUUACUUUGCAUACUUAGUCAUUCAUUCUAUUACUUUUUACUUCAAUUCCCUAUACAUGCCAUAUAAAUCCAAAAAGUUGUUUAACAAAAUCUACCAGAGUAAAUCUAGAUAGUGUGAUUCUUGGUGUAGAUCCGAUCCUCCGAAUGUAUAAAUACGUCAAUCUACAAGAAUCAAUAAACACAUAAUUAAGCUUAUAGAAAGCUUAGUAAGUUCAUAGGCACCAAACAUAAAUCUUACCAAACAUUUAUACACUUAUACAUUAUACACCAUUACUAAGUUUACCUGUCAACCACAAUCUUUGGUGAGUUCCUUGUUAUAAACUCACUACUACUUAUUCUUUUACCAUAAUUCCUUUGGGCCCAUUUGUCACUUACCAUCCUUGAUCAAAAUUAAGGAACGGUUACGGAAAAUUGAGUACUUCACUUUCACUUUGCCAUAGUAUAACUAUGGUCUUACAUAUGAUCACUUAUCACUUGUCCUUGAUAAGAUAAGUGUAGCUAGGCUACCACUUAUCACUUUGUCACUUGAUCAGAUAAUUGUAGCUAAAGCUACCACUUAUCACUUUAUCACCACUUAUCACUUGUUCCUGAUCAGAUAAGUGUAGCUAAAACUACCACUUAUCACUUUGUCACCACUUAUCACUUGUUCCUGAUCAGAUAAGUGUAGCUAAAGCUACCACUUAUCACUUUGUCACUUGAUCAGAUAAGUGUAGCUAAGCUAUCACUUAUCACUUUGUCACUUGAUCAGAAGUACUCAAAUUCGGUGUUCCGCUCAAUUUGAUCAUUUAUUCAGUUUUCACAUUUUUAUUUUAUUCUCAUUUCAUCAAUAAAUAUAUAUAUUUCAGCAUACAUUAUAUAAUUCAUGAAAUUAACAUUUAAUCAUUAAAUUUCAGCCAUAUGAACUUACCUGGGUCGAUUUAUUGAAUUUGUAAAAGUUCAGGGACUAAUCAGCUACUUUUUCUUUUCCUCGACUUGUUUCGGGUUCUCAAUAUGAUUCAAAUAUAUGAAAAACCAGCUUGGAUGGACUCUUCAAUGGCGUUUUUUGCUGAGAAAUAUGAUGAAUUGCCUAGAAACUCUUUUAGUUAAGAUUUUUAUUUGUUAACUUUUACAAAAUUUCCAAUUUUGCCCUUAUUACAUCACUUUUUCAGAUUUUUCUUCUCUUAUGCCGUCUCAACUAUUCCAUAUUAGCAUAUUUAUGCCUUAAGUCCCUCCUUAUUUGCCACUUAAGCUGUUUAAUCACUUUUAACAAAUUUUACAUUAUUUUCAGUUUAGUCCUUUUUAAUUAAUUAACCACCCAAACGUUAGAAUUUUCUAACGAAACUUUAAUAUCAAUUCAAUGACACUCUAUAAAUGUUUCUAAAAAUAUUUAUGGCUCGAUUGAUGAGUUUGAGGUUUCGAUACCUCAUUUUUUAUUCUAAUUAUUUUAAUAUUUAUUCUUAGUAUACUAUUCACUAUUUUAAAAAUUUUCCUAACUUCGCAUUUAACUUAUACUCACUAAAUUAAUAAUAUUUUCUACUCAUUUGUCAGAUUUAGUGAUCUAGAAUUACCAUUCCGACACCACCGAAAAUUCAGGCCAUUACAUUAUGUUUAUUGACUCAUUUUUUCUGUUGACUGAAUUUCAGGUAACUCAUCGACUUAGGCGGGUCGGCAUGGCGAGAGCUCGGUCAUCCUUAUUUAGUAAUUUUCUGUUUAAAUUAAACUUAUGCUAUAGUUGUUUUAUCUUGAAUUACAGAUUGCAAAUUUAUAUUUCUACACUAGUUCAACUAUUUAAACAUUUUCUGACAAUUAAACUUUAAUUAGUUAAAAGUGAGAAUUUCUUAAAUGAUUUGUUGUAGCUUUCCAAGCUUGGUCCUAACAUCUAGGUCGGGUUUGGGGUGUUACAACCCAAAACCCCCAAACUUUCCCCUCAAAACUUUUACUCCCCCACCCUUUCUCUUUCUCGCUCACCCUCCCAAACCCUUUUACUUUUCCCCCAAAACUUUUACUUCCCACUUUUACCCCCAAAUCAAAAAUCAAAAUCCUCCCAAAAAAAUCCUUAAACCUAAAUAGUAAUAAUUUUAUUUAUGGCCACUAUUUAUAUUAUAAAUUAAAUUUCACAUUUUCUAUUAUUUAUAUUAUUAAAUUGUUUAAUCAUUUUGAAUCUUUAUCAAUUUCUGUUAAAACUGUAUCAUUGAUGAUGUCAUACAUUAUUUGUGUUAAAAAUUUCUAUUGGUAUCAAUUUCACAUUUUAUCUUUAAAAUAAAUUUUAUUAAAAAAAUUACUUUUUUACAUUUAAUAUAUUUUUUAAUUUCAAAAUAUAUGGUGACAAGAAUUAGAAGAUAAUUGAAGCAACUAAGCAAGUAAAAAAGCUAACAUGUAUAUAAAAGAUUAAAUAAAUUAUGAAGGGAUGAAAGUUAAUAACACAUUUGAUUACGGUGGACAAAUUUGAUAAUGAUGGGUGACAGUGGCUACAAGGAUCCAAAGUAAUUUUUUCAAUUAACUGGAAACAAAUAUAUUCGAUUCGAUUCGAUAAAAUUUGAAAUCAUUUUAGGAUGAUAAAAUAAGAUUCGUCAACUCGAUUAACUCGAAGUUUUUUCAUUUGAUUCGAUUAGACGCUCACCCCUACAAAGUAUGACCGAUUGGUCUGAUUCUGAAAAAAAUUGGUUUUGAUCAAUGAAAGAACUUUUACGAUGGCGACAGGUCUAACAAACAGGUGAUAUUUUGAAAAGAAAAUUAAUCUCCAUAGUCUCAACCUUAGGAGGGUGAAUUUUGAGCAUUGCAUUUGUUGUCAUUGUUAGACAUUAUAAAGGAAGAAAAAAGAAAGAAAAAAGUUAAAAUGAGGGAAAUUAUUGAAAAAAAGAGAGAAGAGAAUAAUUAAUUUUUUUUAAAAUUUUACAUGUCAAUCUAUUAUUGAUUAGAUUUUUUUAAUGAGUGUAACAUUUUGGUGUUAAAUGGAUAAUAAAAAAAUAUUUUAAGUAUCAUUUAUGAUAAAAAUAUUUAGGUAUCAAUUUGAAAAAAAUAUGUAGCUUAGAUACUAAUUGAUGGGUUAAUUUUUUUAGCUUAAUAAUUUGAUUAAACCGAAAUACCAACUGAAAAAAAGUUUACUCGCCGCUUAUGAAAAAAAAUAAGUAUGAAUUUGUAAGUUAAAUCUCCCUAAAAGAAAAAAUAUAUCACAUUCAAUACGGGGUGAAUGAAGCAAUGAAUGCAAUGGGGUAUUACAACCAGCCACAUGUCAUUCAAUUCAUGUUAUAUCUACCUUGUUGGCCCCACAGGCGGUCUUUUCCAUUAUUUUCGAAGUGAACGACAUGAGUCGGACCUAUAUCGGCCCCAACAAACAACCUCAACCACUUGUUUUGUUAGGUUGUUGACUAAUUUGAAUAUGUCGGCUCAAAGCUUUUUGAAAAUUAAAUUAUUUUUUAUAUUAAUAUCAUAUAGGUAUAAAAAUUUAACGUUUUGUAAAAAAAAUAAAUUUAGUGUUAAAUUUAAAUAAUUAUAAAAAAUUAUACAAAAUACAAAGACAACUUAGAGUCAAUAAAAAAAAUAUGGAAAAUCAAUUCAUACAUGAAAUGGCAUAAAAAUAUUAUGAACACUAUACAAAUAUAUGAAUGUUUUUAUAUCUAUAUAAAAUAAGUUAUUAACGCUUAAAUUUCAACCAAUUAAAUAUUAAUUUAACUAUAAACUAUAAAAAAUUAAAAUUUCAUUUACCCUAAACAAUUAUUCUAAUUUCGCCCCUGUAUAAAAUAGUUGUAAUAUUAAAAAAAAAGUUAUACGAAUAUGGAGUGUUAAAAAAAAAGGCUUUCAACUUUUAAUAUUCCAAACAAAUAAAAGAAAUAAUAAUAACAGUUUACAAGUGCAAUAAAAGUAAUACAUAUUUGAUGAAUUAAAAAUAGAAUAAAUAUAACUAACUAUAACAGAAAUAUAUUUAGAUUUAAACCAAAUUUUUUUGAAGAUGAAAUUUGAACUCACAAAUAAUAUUUAUAAAUGAUGAUAUGUUUUAGAACAUGUAUAUUUUAAUUUCAUUUGAUAUUUAAAUUAAAUGAAUGAAAUGAGUAUAUUAGCAUAAAUAUAUUGAAUUUCUAGAUUUAUUAAAAAUCCAACUAAAUAGAGUAGAUCCAUAAAUUUAAAAAAUGAUUAUGGAUUUUGAAAUAUAAAUCUAAAAUUUAAAAUCUGAAACCCUCCUAAAUGUUUUCCAAAGUAAGGCGGGGAUAAAUGGUAUAGGGAAGACGGUGGGUAGAUAGAUGUACGGUUUAUUUAUAACUUCGUUUUUAUUAGUCGGCUUACAGUUUCAUAAAAAGCAUCCGUGCAAGGCAUGUUCAAAUGCUGCACUAGCAUACCACUACUAUAAAAAAAACACAUACAAGAGCACCACAAAUUUAUCCCAAAAUACAUUAAAUAAAUGACUCCUAAGGGUGCCAGAUUUAACUAGUGUGUCUGGGAUUGUAUUAGCCUCUCUGAGGCCAUGUGAAAAAAUUUAAUGUUAUUGUUAUAUUUCCAUCUCGAUACGUUGCAAGACAUGAAGCAAUCUGUAAACAACUCUCUUUUGGAAGCAGUUUGCAUACGACUCUUCGCUAAGAACCAUUUGUUGUGAUCUUUCGCUUAGGAUUGCUCACAAAUGACCCCCAUGCACCCUAUCUCUCUCCCUCCUUAACUCAUCAUCUUGAACUCUCAUCCUAUUAUAGGUGAAUCGAGACUCUUCUCCUCCACCCUUUCCUCGUUGGUUACUUGUAGCAAAAAAAAUUAAUUUCACCGAAAAUGUUGGAGAGAUCCCAUGGUCUAAGUGUGUUGUUAGAGCAAAGCUCGAUGGCAAAUUUGGAGUCAAAUUUUAGAAUCAACCCUUUAAAAUCCAUUACACCGUAAAGGAAAAUUUUUACAAUUACAUUAACAAUAAAUAUUCAAAAUUUACUCAUCUAUCUAUACUUAUAUUAAGCCUUAUUUGAGUUGGAGUCAAGAGUCAACUAGGUACUAACUCAGUUGAGAAUUUACUAAAUAAUUUUAAUAUAAAGUAAAAAAAAUAUUAAUACGAGGGUGUUUUUAUCUUUUCAUAUUUUUAAAUAAAAAUACUAUAAUAAGAUUUAAACUUAAGUUUAAAAUUUCAAUCAAAACAUCACUUAAAUUUAAAAUAACAUUUUUAUAUAAAAUGUGUUUAGAUUCUAAGAUAAUGAAAUUUAUGAUGAGGUAUUCAAAAUGUGUUUGAAUAUGCUAAUGAGAUAUUCAAAUUGGUAUGCACAUUCCUAAUCAGGGAGCAUUAAUGAUAAUUUAGUAAAAUAAAUUAUCUCAUUAGCAUAUAGUUUAUUAUAAAAUUAUUGUGUAAAAUAAACAAUUCACAAACUUAAGAAUUUAUAACACAAAAAUUAUACAUCAAUGUUGUUAGAAUUGUAUUAUAUCCAUCGGUUGAAUUUAAAUUUAAAAAUUUAAUCAGCGAUAAUAAUUAAAAUCGUUUCAAACUAGUAAAAUAUUGAAAAUUAAGAACUAAUAAAAUAGAUUCUAAUUAUUUUUAUUUAAAAAAUGUUACCUUCUUAUUCAGGUUACAUUAAGACAAACCCAUCUUAAUUAUAAGUAUCAUAUUGUGAAUGGUAAACUUCUUACACAACAUCCACCAUUUGUCCAAAUAUGUUAAAUUAGGUGCAACAUAGAAAUUUUAUUGUAAGGAGUGAAUCUCAUUGUUUUUAUUUUCAUCAAACAUACGUCUAACUUUAUUAUUACGGGAUUAGAACUUAAAUUUGAUAAAUUGUGUGGUUUUAGGUGAUUUCUUUUCGUUAAAUUUAUCUAAAUCAACCUAACACUCGAAAAGUGAGAAUUCUCCUAAAAAUUCUUUAUGUUAGCAAAAAAUAUAGUGGAAGUAACUUGAAACGAAAGAGCAAUGAGAGAAUUGAAAAGACACAAGAAAAUAAUGCAUACAAGGUGUUUGAGUAAAUGCUCUCAAUAAAUUCUUUAACUCAAGAAGGAAUGAAGUACAACCAGUAUCUAGCCCCCCUAAAAUAGAAAAUUUUCCAUUUAUAUACCUUUAUAAUUUAUAAAAUUUAAAAUUUUACUUUCCCAUAAAAUGAUAAAAAAUUGAUUUAUUUCUUUAAAAAUUAUAAAGAUGACUAUUAAAAUAGUAAAAUUGUAUUUUUAUUAUUGUAAAAAUAUACAAUUUAAUUCUGUCUCCCAAAUUUUUUUUUUUUGGUUUCAUCCCUAAGUACAAUGAUCGUUGUAGCAGGAUACAUAGGCAUUCUAGCACAGAAUGCAAAUAUGUUGCCAAUUAACUUCGAGUCAUGGCAUAAAGUGCCCGAGAGUAACAAGAACCAAGCUCUCGAUAACAUUAAGGUAACAAAAUGUGUAUAUCAUUUAUAAUACUUGAGUUUAAGUUUCGUUUACAUUUACUUUCUGAAGUUGUGUUUUUUGUAGGGGAGAUUUGCUCUAGAGGUCUCCGAUGCUUAUGUAAAGAAGGCAUUGGGAAAAAGAUGGAGAGACCAUAAGAGCACUUUAAAGAAAGACUAUUUUAAGACAAAAACAACACUCGACGAGAGAUUACAAAAUGUCACGCCGGGAAUGCUGAGGUACCAGUGGGAAGAAGUCGUUAGAUUUUGGACUUCGAAGAAAGGAGAGGUAUGUGUUACUACAAAAAUCUUGUAAUUAUUUUGGUUUAUAGUAUUUACUAAUUAACGUACUAAUAAUUUCAUAACGUAGGAUCGUGAACGAGUUGGAACAAGUAGUAGGCAGAAACAAAAAUUCACGCACACAGCUGGGUCGAGAAGUUUUGCGUGUGUAGCUCAGGCCGAGGUAUUUUGAAUUUUUUAAUACUGGCAGAUAUUUAUUACUUUCUAUCAAAUAAUAUUUUUACUAUUGUAUUGUAGGAAGUGUUGUCGGGUCAAAAAGUUGGACGCCUUCAACUUUUUGACAUUACACAUAGGAAGAAAGAUGGAAACCCUAUGACUCCUGAAGCUGCAGAAAUUAUGGUACGUUUGCUUAAUACAAUUUGACUUGUUUUAAUUAUUUAUGCUGUUUAUUUUCUAAUGUUUUUUAUUACAUUUCUUGUAAUGCAAAUAUUGUUAAGUUAUGUUGCAUUUGUUUUGUUAAUAUAUGUUGCGUUCUUAACUAUGUGAUUUAUUUUUUAGGAAAAACUGAAGGAUAAAAAGGCGGAGUACGAAGCGAUUGCUUCCAGUGAUAGUUCUGUUCAUAUUGACGACAUUGAUAACCGGAUUAUCACUGAAGUUUUGGGUCCUGAAAGGUAUGGUCGGGUUCGAUUUCAAGGAUCUUUUGUUAACCCAUCCCAAUAUUUUGGAUCCAGCUCGCAACAAUACAUGCAUUCGGGGAGUCAGGCUCAAGCUGAAGUUCAGAGGUUAAGAGACCAGAUAGCUCAGAUGCAAGCGGCAACGAGUGAGCAAAUUACACAACUUAAAGCGGAGGCAACAUCGAGAGAAGCUGAGGUUCAAAAAAGAUAUGAAGAACUCCAGCUACAACUUAAAGCAGAUGCGGCAGCGAGAGAAGCAGAGGUAGCAGCGAGAGAAGCUGAGGUUCAACGAAAGUAUGAGCAACUGCAGCAGCAGCUUAAAGAAGAUGCGGCAACGAGAGAAGCAGCGGCUGCAGCGAGGGAAGUAGAGGCUGCAGUGAGGGAAUCAGAACAGCAUAAAAAGUUCGAUGAACUCCAGCAGCAGCUUCAGAAUAUGAUGAAGAUGUUUCAGCAGUCGCAACCGCCGUCAUCUUAGACUAUCGUUUAAAUAUACUUCAAUUUUGACUUUGGUAUUAUUAUUUUAACUUUUACAAUUUCUGUCAGAAUAAUACGAAUUUUAUUUUAUUUAUUGACAUUUAUUUUAAAUAUUAUAUAGAUUUGGUUAGAUUUGGUUGGUUGGAUUUGGUUUCUUCUGAUUUGUUUUUAUAGGAGGGGGCUGAAAUUUUUUUUUUCAAAUCUGCAAAAAUUAGCGGCGUUUUUUUGGAUAAGCGCCGCUAAAGACCAUCGUCUAUAGUGGAAUUUUUUGGCUAAGCGCCGCUAAAGACCAUGGUCUAUAGUGGCAUUUUUCGGCUAAGCACCGCUAAAGACCAUGGUCUAUAGUGGCGUUUUUUGUCUAAGCGCCGCUAAAGACCAUGGUGUAUAGUGGCAUUUUAUGGCUAAGCGCCGCUAAAGACCAUGGUGUAUAGUGGCGUUUUUUGGCUAAGCGCCGCUAAAGACCAUGGUCUAUAGUGGCGUUUUUUGUCUAAGCCCCGCUGAAAACCAUGGUCUAUAGUGGCGUUUUUUGGCUAAGCGUCGCUAAAGACCAUGGUCUAUAGUGGCGUUUUGUGGCUAAGCGCCGCUAAAGACCAUGAUCUAUAGUGGCAUUUUUCGGCUAAGCGCCGCUAAAGACCAUGGUCUAUAGUGGUGUUUUUUAGGCUAAGCGCCGCUAAAGACCAUGGUCUAUAGCGGCGUUGCAAAGAAAACGCCGCUAAAGACCAUGGUCUAUAGUGGCGUUUUUUAGGCUAAGCGCCGCUAAAGACCAUGGUCUAUAGCGGCGUUGCAAAGAAAAUGCUGCGAAAGGUCUUGAUCUUUAGCGGUGUUUAUUAUAAAAAGCGCCGCUAAAGUUACCGACGCUGUCAUUAGCGGCGAUCCUUGCGGCGCUUCGUAAAGCGCCGCUAAAAGUAUUUGCGGCGCUAAAAAAUGCCGCUAUAGACCUAAAAAAGCGCCGCUAAAACCCUGUUUUGGUGUAGUGUGAGAUGAUUACAAAUGAAGGGGGAGAUCUCUAUUUAUAGUUGAGCUCCCCUAGAUCCAAUAGUAUAGAUUGAAUUACAUCAACGAUUGAGAUUAGUACUUAUCUACAAGAUGAGUCUUAAGGAUUUUAAACUCUAUACAUCUUUAUCCCUUAGGAUUUACAUUAAUUACUCUGGUAACUCUAGUUUUACUGGAGAGUUUCACUGAACCACCAAAGGUUUAAGUAGAUGAGCUUCUCCAUAUGUUCCACGAGUUGGACAAGUUCAAGCGGAUCAAAUGAGCCCAAUUUAAUUAGUUAAUCUCAAUAAAACGUUCUAUGCACAAUGAUCAUGAACUUUGAUCCACAUCUCAAAAUGAUCAGAUGAAUAAUCUCUCUUAAUUAUAUUUUUAUAAAACUUGAUAUUUUCAUUUAAAAAGAAACACAAUCACAUAUAAUAAUGUCUCCAAAAGAGUCGUCCACUUCAAAGAUUUAAAGUAAUGUAAGAAUGAACCCAACAUUUUUCAAUUAAAAAUAUGUCGAUAGAUAUAGCAAGUUGUAUAACCUUUCAAUUACAAAACAGAUUUCAAUGGGGAUUGCAUCCGGUACAUGCAACUAAAGAACAGAACCGGUGCAUAAAUUGAUUUAAUUAAACUUUGGGUUGAGUAAUCAUGAUUUUCAUUAUUAUUAGACUACGUGAAUGUUGAUAUAAAAUGCUUGAGAGAAGGGUAUAGAAGAAACACAAAAUAAUGAGUGAUAUUAAUUUGUAGAUAAAGAUAAUAUUACAUAGUCGCAAAAAGCGACCUAGUACACAACGCACAACUCUAAAUUAGGAUAACUCCUCUGCUAUCCCUAUGGAUGGAUUUUAACAUCCAUAUUUAUUCUGUAGCUAUCGUUAUUUUGGCUUCCACUAGCUGGUGAACUUUCCAUGCCAAAACUUCACUUAACCCUGCAAAUGAAACAACAAAAAACACAACAUUAAAUGUUGAGCAAUUAAUAAGCAUAAGCAAUGAAACAACUCAUACGAACCUGCUGCAGUCAGUGCUAGGGCUGAUCUUGUAAGGGAUGUUGACACCGCACUUGCCUGGGAGUCCGCUUGCAAUACCAUAGUUGAUGCCAGGAAUGCCGGCGGCCGCACUUUUGAUGCAUUUGCAAGCUGCUUGCCGGUCUGGUGUUGUUUGGGCGGCGGAGUUGAGAGAUUUGAUGCCGCUGCAGCAACCUUGGGGAACGGCACCAGCACCAUUCCCUCUCAAGUAAUUAAUGCAGGGUGCGAGGGAGCCUGUGACUUGACCACAGGUUACGGUCCCUUGAGCCAGGGGUGCACCCACCACCAUGCACAACACCACCACACAUGCAAGCUUAAGGGACAUUGAGCUAGCCAUAUCGAUUAAUUACAAGAAAAACAAACUUGUAAGGAAAAUGCUUGCUUGGAGUAGUAGUAGUAUUGCUGAUUGUUGCGUGGUUAGGGCCCGAGGGUAGGAGGGUUUUUAUAGCCAAAAGUUUUGUGAAGGGAUAUGGAACGAACUGAGAAACACGUACGAAUAGAAUAUGGUUAGGCGUUGGUAGUUGUCCCAAUUCAAUGCCAAGGUUUCUUUUUUUCUUUUUCAUGUUUCAGCUUAUGGUUGAGUGUGUUUAAUGCUUUGAAAAAGGUUUGUAUCUACCACUUUCAUCUUCAUCACUAAUGCUGAAUUACUCCGUUGAUUAAUGCAUCAUAUUAGCCUUGUCCUAGUGUUACCGGUUUUCUGAUAUUAGUAGCUUUACCAAUAAAAGAUGCUAUCAAAUAUAGUUUUCAGGAUGAUAUUAAAAAUUAAGGUUUUUUAGUUACAAAUAAAAUUGUCACAUUAUCAAAUUUUAAAGAUAUGAAAUUAUUAUUAUAAACUCAUCUAUAGAGAAAUUAUUUUAUGAGCCCUUUCCACCACAUUAUUCACAGUCCAUUUUCAAUUAUUUAAUAAUAUUUCAACAAUAUUUUUCAUGUCAUUGACACAUAAUUUUAAUAAAUUUUUUACCCUGAACCUUGAGUCUAGAAUCCCAAACCCUAAAUAAAAAACUUAAAACCCCAAACUAUAACCCCAAACACUUGCAUCAUAAACUCGAACCGCGAACCUCAAACUCAUAAUCUGUAACCUUGAACCCAAACUUGUAAUCUCGAACCCUUGAACCCUUGAACCCUGAACCUAAACCUUGAACCCUGAACUCAAAGCCCAAAACCAAAACUGAACCCUGAACCUUAAAUCUCAAACCCAAACCUUAAACCUCGAGGUUUGGGUUCAAGGUUCAAGGUUCAGGGUUUGAGUUCAAGGUUCGAGGUUUAGGAUAAAAUAAUUACCAAAAUUUGUAACAGAAUAAAAGAGUUCGUUUAUAAUUUAAAAAGCAAUUAUUUUAAGUAAUUUAAUUAAAGUGAAAUUAAGUUAGAGAAAAUAUUAGAUAUAGAUGAGUGUAUAAUAAUACUUUAUUGUCUUUAAAAUUUAAUGACGUGGUACUAUUUUAUUGGUGCCUCAAACUAUACUUUUUAGAAUAAUCCUAAUACAAUUUAUUCCCAUAUUAAAUACGUAUGCUUUCUAUAUUUUUUCGAAAAAAUAAAUUUUAUUCAUAAACUUUCUAUAUAUAAAUAUAUGUUUUAUUUAAAAUUUAUAAAUACAGAAAAAUUAAAAUAUAAAUAUAUGUCAAAGUAGCUAUUAAGUGUAGAAUUAAACAAUUAUAACAUAUAAAUAGAUUAAAAAUUAGGACAAAAAAUCAAUCUAUUACAUAAAAUAUAAAUUAUGAAUGAAAACAAUCUAAAUUAUAGUCUGGCUAAUCAAACUAAAACUUACAUAUAACCAUAUGACUUUAAGGGUCUUGAAUAUGGUUACUUAAAAGCUUAUAGUUCAGCUUUUACCCACUACGUCAAGGCUUCAUUUACGUUUUUUUUAACCAUAUAUUUUUCAUAUAAUUAUAUAUAUAUAUUUUGCAUAAAAAAUCCCCAAGACGUUAAUUACUUCUAUAUAAUGUAGCGAUUAAGUCCUCAAACAAAAAUUGCUCAACAUCAAUGCAUGUAUAGAUCAAUUUUAUAUAUCAAAGACCAAUACUAUCUUUUUCUUAAAAAAAAAAAAAAACCAAUAUGUUGUGAUUGCUUAGCUAUUGUUCCUAAGUCUUCCUGAAAAAGGUUUCACAGCGAGAGGAGAAAAAAAAAAGUUGAACUUGUCUUGGUUUGCCCCAUAAUGAUUGAAGCAUAGACAAGAUUAUAAAUGUUAAUUUAGUAUACGACAUAAUAAUAUAAUAUAAUAUAUUUAAAUGUAUAUCUCCUCACCUCCUAGACGCUGUCAGUUAUUUUAUUUUUUGGGAUUCUUUUAACAAAAGGUUGAGCUUUUUAUUAGGUUUUAUUUGAUUUUUCAUUUAUUAAUAUAAUUUUUUUAUUUUUAUAUAUUUUAGUUAUUAUUAAUUUUUGUUGGAAAUUUGUACGGUCUUGUUCUAACAACAAUUACAACAAGCUUUUUGGAACAAUCAAAAGUUUUGGGUGUUGGCAUGUUUGACUUUUAAUGGCUUAUGUUUUAAUAUUAGUUAACAACAAAUGAUAAGAGAAUUUCAUGGUAAAUUAGAAUAUAAUUAUCAUCCAUUUGAUUAGUCUUGAAGAGGAAGGAGAGGAGUUUUAACUUUGGUGGACACCCAUCCUUAUCCUUGUCUUUUAGAGUGUUUGAAGCUAUUGGAGAACUUGGUUUUAAAGAUUUUAUUUGAUAAAUAUUCAAAAUAAUUAAUUUGAUAAUUUCAACUUUUAAAGGAGAGUUUAAAACUUAUCAAAAUAUUAUUUGAUAAACACUUGUAGAGGCGUAUAAAUAGGCAACAGUGUGGUGUAACUUUGUUUGUUGUUUUGGAGUGUCUUAAACUUUUAUUUUUUUGCUAUUCCAUUGGGUAACUUUAUGACACUCUCUUUUUAGGUAUUAUUUGGAGAUGUUUAGUAAUUGUAUUGUGAGGAAUUUGAGUGAGUGAUUGCAUUGAAGAAAUGCGACCUAAAUGUAUAUGUUAAACUCUUAUCUAGGACAUAAAUUCCAUGAACAAGGUACCCAUGUUAAUAACAUGUCACCACUUCGCAUCUUUAUGGUAUUGACCCUAUGUAGUUAGACCCUAUAUGACGUAAACAACACUUAUAGUGUGCACGAUAUCGUAGGCUUGAACGUUGAUUGAAUGCAACCUAUAUUUUGGUGCCUUUGUCGGAAAUGAUGUAUGCAUCGGGUUGCGGUACAAAUGCCUUCUCAGGUUAGUUAAGAAGAAAUCCCAUUCAUCAUUGGAUUCUUCAGGAGUUAUUACAAAAGCUAUUGGCAGGAUUUUUAGGUUACCAUCUUAUGCAACAACUACUAACAACCGAUGGUCGCAUAUUCUAUACAGGAAUGUGCCGUUAAUUUGGAAAAGUGGCUUACAGUACCAAAAUGUAGUUCUGCAUUGCUUAAAAGUCCAAAAGCAACGGUGGAAAACUCCUUUUCCAGGGACCAAGCAAUCGUCAUAAUACGCAGGCUCCAUUUUUAACUUGGUUACAGAACCUAGUAUGUACCACUCUAGUAUCUAACACCAUUGCCACAAUUUAUAGUAGGAUUUCUCCCACCCUCUAUUCAUUUUCUCCAAUGCCUUCUAUUUUUGCAACUAUGUCUUAUGCUAGGACAUGGUGUAAUCGGAUUCUCUACAGAUGUGUGCGAUCAAAAUUGGGACCAGAAUCGUAGGACUUGCUUUUGCCAUGGGUAAUAGAAUUUUAGAUAUCAUGUCUAAAUCUAAUUUUGGAUGAUCAUUCGAUAUGCUUGAAAAACAAGAAAUCAAGUCACUAUGUGUAAUAGAAUGUAAAAAAAGGCUAGGAUUCGAGUCGAUGUUGUUAGCCAUAUUACAUACCAGCUACAACACAUGUAUGUGGCACGAUAAAUUUCCUACGUUUAAAAUGCCAACUUCUUCGUCAUAAAUGCCAUGAUUUUCCAUAGACAUCUUGUUGCACGCAUUGUGCGCAUCGCCUUAUAUUUCUCGGAUUGAGAGCAUGUAAUAGUGAAGUUGACACCAAGUUGUAUGCUAUACUACUUGAUUGUAGCUACAAAAGCAUAUUUGGAGUCAAAUUCCAUCCCAACCUCUAAGUGGUCGAAAUUUGUUGAUGAAGUCGCAUACCUUAGUCUUCUACGGGGGAGGUCUGGGAAUUCUAAAACCACUUUCACUAGUAAGACUGAGAGUACGCAUAUGGGGUGGGGGUUUGUAUUUCGUGAAACUUAGGUCAUCCCCUCGAGCGAUGUCUAAAGCUUGACCAUUAGAUCCAUCGUCUUCUAGUUCAGUAGGAAUGGGAUCUAGUUCUAAAAUUACUACAAUUUCGCACCAUCCAGUCCAACCACCUCUCCUGGGUCAUUAUCUGAUUUAGACCCCUCUUUGACCACUUUGUUCUCUUGUCCCUCUUUGUUAUCAACCCUGGUUGUAAGUCCAGGGUUGGAUGUACCCUCUCUGGUCAAAGUUGUCAAGAGUAGAUCAUUCAUUCUUGUAAAUCCGAUGUCAAUCCCAAAAUCAAUUCUGUUUGGCCUACCCAGUAACUUGAUGGUGUACCAUAUGAGUGUUAUCGAGGUUGAACAUAGGUGUGUCAAAGUUGAAACCAAAGGCACUGAUAGAAUGUUGUGCGGCUGUGUUGUAGGCCUGGUGACCGAAUACGUCUAACUAUCCCCCGAAGUUGAAAUCGAGGGAUGAAAUCGAUGAAUGCCUCACCAUUGAUGAUGUUAAUAAUGUGUCUUUGUAUAAGCUUUGUAGAAAUGAUCUGAAUCCACAACAAAACCGUGUGGCCAGACUUUUUGCUUCUUGAUUUGGCUAGAAAUUUGGCGGACACGGUAUAAUCGAGCUUGGGCCACCUUUUUCCUCUUCAGCAAAGACUGUAUAUUCUCACUAGAGUAAUGAGUUUCGAUCACUGUCUUCAAACCGUUGUCCCCUGUGAUCUGAAAAAUGGAAUAUCUAACGGGGUUAAAUGAUGUUAGAUAUCUACAUUUCAGGCUCAAAAUUCUUCUUCAGAUCCCUACUUUAUGCCUAAACCUUGUUCAAAGCUCUUUUAACGUUAUGCUCUAGUUGAAUGUCAGAUCUUUAGAUUGGGUUGAUACAAAAAUGGGCUCAAUUUCAGCCUCACAAUUUUGACCGUUGUAAUGGACAAUAGCUCUGGCUCGUCUCCUCAUCUUGAACCAAAUAUUCUAUUCCACAUGUUUAAAAUCGAGAAAAUUGUAAAAAUAUAGUUCUCAUCACCCAAAUCCCUAAAUUUACACUUACUUUAAUGAAAUACCUUUGCUUCGACAAUAUUGUCAGUAUAAAAUUUUUGUUUUUUACUACAACAUCGAUAACUCCUAAUGCCAACAAUCUGCUUCAAACAUCUGUAUGGAAAAUCCAAGAAUUAUAUUGAGUUUUUUUAUAGAGCCUUUUCCUCGACGCACAUGAAACGAUUCUAGCAACAACACAUGUCAAGGCAUUAGUUGUUUUUGAGGUAUACACUAAAAAUUAAAAUUUGUGGGGGAGAAAACGUUCCCCGCAACGAUGUUUUUCAGCACCUAGACAUAGCAUUGAAAUUUAUCCUAGGAAUCCCGGGUUGUAGGGGCUUAGAGGUUGAAGCAAUCAAGUUGGCUUGGGUAUUGAAAGACCAUAAAGAAAAUGCCUAUUGCAGGAAGCAUUUCCACCUGACUUGGCAAUCAAAAUGCCUCCUGCAGGACGCGUUUUCCAGCCACAUCUCUGAUAUGUUAGUCGAAAACGCAUCUUGCAAGAGGCGUUUGUACUGCCAUGUUAGGUAAAAACACUUCCUGCAGGGAACAUUUUCUUUAUGGCCAUUUCAACACCCAGGCCAACUUAAUUGCUUCUGCCUCUGAGCCCUUACAACACGGGAUUCUCGGGAUAAAAAAAUUUCCCUUUUUACCCCACCCCAUCCCUUAUAUAAAUGCAUGUUCUCAUCCCCUACUCACCCAUAUCUCAGUCUCCUUUAAAUUAUUUUUUUCUUUUUCUUCCGUGUUGAAAUUUUCAAGUUUAAAGAUUUAUUUCUCUCACACUUUGAGGGGGAUGUAAUCAUAGUUUUAAGUUGUGUUUGAGUUCACAAUAAUGUCGUGGCGCUUGAUAACUUACAAAUUUCACUUGUCGUGUGAGUAUGGAGCCAUCACUUGAGAAAUCGAGAUCGCUUUGCAACUCGAGGUCCAAGUUGACGGUGUAAAUAAGGCUUCAAGUUUACAAAGGUUAUGCUAUUAAAAGGAUGGAGCAAAACCGGGACUGUAGUUGAUGAUGGUGAUGCAAGCACAAGAACUAGUUUUUCCUCAUUGGAAGAGCAUACUUUAUAAAAUCCAUAUACAAGUACGAGGGAGAAAAUCACAGGGGUCUUCCAGUAUAAUCAAGUAAUUCAUUUUAUCCUUUUCCAGCAAAGGCAAUGACCCUGUUACUAAAACCUAUUACAUCCCAAUUCUAUCAUAGGUAAUAGUAACGGUGUCACUGUCUUUGGUGGAGAUGGAUAAAAAAAUUUACUUAAUUAUACUGAGAUACCAUUGCAUUUUUCUUCCUCGUACUUGUGUAUGAGUUUUAUAAAGCAUCAUUUUCUAAUGAAAAAAGUUUUUUGUCGUGCCCGCAUAACCAUUGUAAAUUACAGCUCCAAUCAUACUCCGUCCUUUGAUAGCGUAACAUUUUGUAAACUUGAAGCUCUAGUUACACUUCAAUUUCAGACCGUAUAAUCACCCUUAACUGGGACCAUGAGUUGCAAUGCGAUCUGGCUUCUCGGGUGAUGGCUCCAUACUCACAUGACAAAUGAAAUUUGUAGGUCACCUAACUCCACGACACCACCAUAAAUUCAAACAUUCCUUAAAACUAUAACAGUGUCUAUCUCAAACAAGAAUGAAAAUAAAUGUUCAAACUUCUAAUUUCAAAUUGCAAGAAAAAAAAAAGAAAAAAAUAAAUUUUAGCAAAGUAAAAAUGGGUCCUACCGGCACAUUUUCAUUGCCACAUCAAUGAAAAUACACCUCGUACGACACGUUAUUCUUUCUUCGUAAACAAUGUAAAUCAAUAAAUUUAAAAAAAAAUUAUACAUUCUCAAAUAACUCUUUUUUUCAGCAUUUUUGUUAAAUUUAUCCCAUAAUACUGCUACUUCUUGUUUCCUGGGUUAUUUUUAUUACUGCUGGUUGUACCACCCUCCUACUGUGCGCCGGUUAUAGCAACUCACUCAAGAUUCUAAAUACUAAUAUAAACACCAUUUCUUUUAUUCUUAGUUUUUUUAGUGAUUAACGUGGUUUUAAUUAUCGUUAGAUCACGUGGGUGUUUAUAUGAAAUGCUUGAAAUCGUCACGCAGGACAAAAAAAAAAAAGAAAAAGAAAAGGAAAUGAAGAGUAUAUAUAUAGAGGAAACAACUAGUGAGAGUGAUAUUAAUAUUUAGAGUAGGUAAAGAUAGUAUUAUAUAGUCGCAUAUGCGACCUUGUACAUUACCACUAACUCUAAAACUAGGAUAACUCCAACAAUGAAUAGUACCGCUAUGGAUUUUUAACAUUCAUUUUUAUUCUGUCGACAUCACUAUUUCCCUUCCAUUAGCUGAUCCCAACUUCCAUGACCACACUUCACUUAAUGCUGCAAAUGCAACCACACCAAACAAAACAUUCAUAAAUUAAUAAAUCAAUUGCCAUAAGCGAUAAACUUUGGGUCAUUUUCUUUUUCCGUAAUUUCAAAGAAACCUAGUUUAAAUUAGAUACGAACCUUUUGCAGUCAGUGGAAGGGCUGAUCUUGUAAGGGAUGUUGAUACCGCACUUGCCUGGGAGUCCGGCUGCAGUGCUAUAGUUGAUGCCAGAAAUGCCGGUGGCCGCACUUUUGAUGCAGCUGCAAGCUGCUUGCCGGUCUGGUGUUGUUUUGGCGGCAGAGUUGAGAGAUCUGAUGCCGUUGCAGCAAGCUGGGGGAGCAGAACCAGCACCAUUCCCUUUCAAGUAAGCAAUGCAGGGUGCGAGGGCGCUUGUGAUUUGACCACAACUUAUGGCCCCUUGAGCCAGGGGUGCACCCACCACCAUGCAAAACACCACCACAC
rnacentral:lncRNA from 1 species